rnacentral:ncRNA from 1 species
AUAAUUAAGAGUUUGAUCCUGGCUCAGGAUGAACGCUGGCGGCGUGCCUAACACAUGCAAGUCGAGCGAGAAUUAAGGGAGUGGAGACUUCGGUCAAAGCAAGCUUAAGGAAAGCGGCGGACGGGUGAGUAACGCGUGGGUAACCUGCCUCAUACAAAGGGAUAGCCACUGGAAACGGUGAUUAAUACCCUAUAAGAC